AACUGGGUUUAUGUGCGUCCCCCUCACCCCCUCCUCUCUUUUUCUUUCUCUCUGUCUCUGUCGUCUCUCUCGCUGGCUUUUUAAAAAUGAGGAACCGCUCCUUGAAUGUUCUGGACAGAGCACAGAAUUGCUUCUUAAGUCAGCCCGGCGCGGUUGCAAUAGACAGCAAAAAGGUAAACGUUUGCCUGAAAUCCGCACGCCAGCUCCACCGCCCCGCCCGAUGGUCCCAGUUCCUCUGGGAAUCGUCCUGUAUGCAACAUCUUCACAAGAGUGGCAGGCAGUUGAAUCUCUGGCCUUCGUGGGACCACUGGACAUCUGGCAGAGAACCAGGAAACCACGGUUCCCUUCUGUGAGUCCCUCAGCCGGAAAACUACAAGCUCCUCAUGCAGCUGCUGUCUACAGACCCCCUGGACUGCCUGGGGAAGUGAGUCGGAGCUCCUGCAGCAGAGGGGUGGAACAGCUACACGAAGAUCCGAAGGUGGCCAAAAAUAACAGCGCUUUCCAGAUGAGGGAGCCAGUUGUCCAGCACAGUGUCAUGGGACAGUGGGCCCUGGUGCCACAAUGCCCGGCAUCUCCACCAGAUACAGCUUUGAGAUCUUCAUGAUGAAGCUUGCUCCAAUCCAAGGGCUGUCAGGUGGGGUUUGCGGUUCAGCUGCUAACCUUUCUUUGAUCCAAAUCCUGUCUUCACUGGCUUCAAGAAUCCUGUCUUCACUGGCUUCAAAACUGGGAUGAAGGAGGCUCCUUAGUGGAGAGCAAAGCAAAGAGAAACUCAAAUUGGAUCCAUAUUAAAGAAGAGAAGGAUGGAUUUGUUUAGACAACACAAACCUAGGAAGGGUUUGAGAGGUGAAACAAACUGGGUUAUGGAUGAACGGGGGCAAUUGGAAUGUAGAAUUGAAGCAGUAAUUAACAUCUUGACCCAGUUUUGGUGACUUGGUCACUGCAGACCUUUCAGAAUGUGUGGUGCUCAUUCUUGUUAAACCAGUUGAGAAUUUCCCCAAUCCUUUGGCCCUGCGCACAAGUGUAGCUGCUCUUCCAAUCAAUGGGACCUUUGUAUGCAGCAGGGCGGAAGGAUAUUAUUAUGUGACAAAUGACCACAGGGAAACUCCCAUUAUUUUCCUUGUGUCUGAGAAAUUAUAAAUGUGUAAUAAGGAACACUUUGUAGUAACCCUUGUUAAUUUAUGAUUUUAAAUAUGAAUGUGAAUUUAUUGGAAUGACACAAUAAAGAGUCACCAUGGGCACCGAUUAUAAUUAUCACCAAGUACAAUGAAGCAGAGAAAGAAACUAUCUCGCUCCUAAAUGGCAUCAUCCAUAUAAGCCUUGCCUUGUUCAAAGCUACUCUGUAGUAUUUUCUUUUAAAUAAAAUAAAUAAGGCACAAAUAAACAACAUAACCUAAAGAGGAGAUGGAAUGGUCUAUUUCUUUUUGUUUUUUGGAAGCUAAAUUUUUGAGAUAACAUUAAAGAUAAAAAUCAGCAAGACACCUCUGGGCUACGAGAGGCUACUCUUAUGUCACAUGUCCAUUUAUCACCAUCAUCUUCUCUAUGUUCUCUUCCCUUCCCCCCACUUUCUCCUCCUCCUACUUCUUGAUUAGCCAGUCAGAUGUCUUAUUCUUCUGAAGGAAGUGAUUUGUUCAGAGAUGGGUACAUGAUACCAGGCUCUGCCAAUACAAGGCUUGCCUGAGACAUUGGUUGGAGAUGUAAAGAAAGAAGUAUGCUCACUUCUAGAAGAGCCACAUAUAAACCAUUAACUGCAGUGAAGAAAGCCUGAUGAAGGAUGCCAAUGGAGAAGGAAGCAGAGCAGCACAGAGCAGGAGCAAUAGUUAGAUGCGCAUGAUGACAUUACUUGAGUACCUGGAUCCAGCCACACCUGAAAACUGAACUCUCUAAACUCCUCACUUAUUGGAACUAAUAUGUUUCUCCUUUUUGGUUUUAGUUGGUUUCAGUUGACUUUUUACUCAUGGCAAACCAAAGAUUUUUUUUUUUUUUUUUGAGACACAGUCUCAUUUUAUCACCCAAGCUGGAGUGCAGUGGCGCAAUCUUGGCUCACUGCAACCUCCACCUCCCGGGCUCAAGCAAUUCUCCUGUCUCCACCUCCCAGGCAGCUGGAAUUGCAGGCAUGCACUACCACGCCCAGUUAUUAUUAUUAUUAUUAUUAUUAUUAUUAUUAUUAUUUGUAUUUUUAGUAGAGAUGGGGUUUCAUGAUGUUGGCCAGGCUGGUCUCGAACUCCUGACCUCAGGUGAUCCACCUGCCUCGGCCUCCCAAAGUGCUGGGAUUACAGGUGUGAGCUGCUGCACCCAGCCAGCAAACCAAAGAUUUCUGAGUAACACACCAAGUAAGAAAGGCAAACACUGCCACACUGGGAAGCACACACUCAUUUAUUAAACAUUUAGCAUGUCUUACUCUAGAACAGGAAGAGCAUUUGUACAGAUCAUAUGACUCAUUUGAAUCAAUUUCAAACAAAGAGAACAAGUCUGUGCGUUAGUUCAAAGAUGCCUGCCAUAUCUUUGGGUAUCUAAAUAAGUUCGCAUGUGUGCUUUUACUUUAAUAACCAAAAAGAAAUGUGGCCAUAGGUUGGGUUACCUGGAUCAUAUAUUCUAACUAGACAGUAAUUCAUAAAUUCUGUGCCAGCAGUUUCAUUUGUGACUACAGUUGCGUGAAGUCAUGAAGAACUACUUUAAUAGUCAUAAGGUGAUGAGCUGUAUGACCUAAGGCAAUUUACUUAACUUCUUUGUACUGUCAGUGUUUAUCUGUCAAGUGGCAAUAAUAAGAGUAUCUACUUCAACCAAACUUCCACCAAUUCUUCUGAGUAAUAAAUAAGCAAAUAUAUGUUAAGUGCUUAGAAUGGUGGCUGGCACACUCACUCAGUAAAUAAUAGCUAUUGUUAUUCAUUAUCACCACCACCAUCAACUUCAUGUAGGAAGCUUCACAAGCAGUUUGAAUAACUUGCAAAUAUGCAGAACUUUAUUUACCACUUACAAAGUACUUUUGCCUGCAUCAUCCAAUUUGAAACAGUAAAUCUAUGCUGCCACACAAUAUGCGUUUUACAGUUUGCCUUCUUGCAAUUGAAAAGAGCAGUUUUUUUCAAAUAUUUACAUAAUAUUUUGCAAGAUGCACUGAAUCUCGUAUCACAUAUGAAUGACUGAGGAACACUUUUUUUUUUUUCCUGCAGAAGAGUUAAACAAAAACAUUUAAAAUACAAAUGUGGACUGGUUCUGGAUAUCUUUUACCAAGAUUGGAAAUUUAACUGCUUAAUAAAACUUUGGUUAUACCUGUUAUAUUUGUCAACAGACCUAAUCAUGGGAAAUAAAAUGUUACUUUGUUAAGAGUUACUUUAUCUUUUCCUUAAUAUAUCACUGAUAUCAAAAAGAAAAGGGUGAAGCAAAUUCAUACUUUCAUGUCAUUGGUCAUUUAAAAUAUUUUUAAAGUUGGACCUCCUGAAAGACUUAGUGUGUUUCAUGUCACCAACGUAAGCAGAUUGUUGAAUUUGACACAUCUAAAAGUUUUCUUUGUUUAUGGAAUUUUCUCACAAAGACCUGCUUUCAAAAUGCUAAAAUAUUCAUUCAUACUAAGAGUUUUGUUGUUGUUGUUGUUGUUGUUGUUUUGUUGUUUUCCCCCACACGAAGAAGCUUUGAAUUAACUGGGUAAAAUUUUUCAAUAGUCUUUUUUCUUUUUUUUGAGAUGGAGUCUCGCUCUGUCUCCAGGCUGGAGUACAGUGGCGCCAUCUCGGCUCACUGCAACCUCUGCCUCCUGGGUUCAAGCGAUUCUCCUGCCUCAGCCUCCCGAGGGGCUGGGACUACAGGCGAGUGCCCCCAUGCCCAGCUAAUUUUUGUACUUUUAGUAGAGACGGGGUUUCACCAUGUUGGCCAGAAUGGUCUCGAUCUCUUGACCUCGUGAUCUGCCCGCCUCGGCCUCCCAAAGUGCUGGGAUUACAGGCGUGAGCCACUGCGUCCAGCCCUCAAUAGUCUUGUUUAAGGAGAUGAUACAAUUUUAUUCUUGUAUCAAUUUCUAGAAUUCAUCAAAGUUUGCUAGUAAUUCUUUUAUUUUGGACCUUGAUGGUAUUUUAUCCAAUUCAGGGAAAACACACCUGCUUUAAUAACUGCUAAGGGGACAAGGAUGGUGUGGGAGGAAAGAUUUAUAUAACUAGUUUUACAAGUGUAAAUUUUAAUAAUUUCUUGUAUAGCAAAACAAAAACCAAAAAGCAUAUACAAUAAAACUUUCUUUGGUAUUUAGAUGGUAUUUUUCUUGUCAGAGCUUUGGCCAGAAGCUAGAAGAAACAAUUGAGUUCUGAAUUGUUCUCCUCUGUUUAGGCUACCGUGUUACUAAAAGGCUUCUGAUAUUGCAACUUUUUUUUUUUUAUAGUUAGUAAGUGUUCCUCGCUUGUAUCCUUGAUGGACUAAUCUAUUCCCCACCUAGAGAGUUUGAGUUAUUUUCUCAAGAGUAGUUAGUUGUAUUUUCUUCAUUGUGUAUCACAAGGUAAAUGCUAAAUUCUAGACAUAUAUUGACACUCACAAUUAUGGACACCAAUCAUUUUGUGAAGGUAAGCCAUACUUUUUAGGUUUUAUGAAUACUGAAUGCAUUUUAAAAGACAGCCAGAUUCUCCCAGUGUUUACACAAUGGGACUAAAUGAGUGUUAAUAACUUAGGUCUCUUAGAAGCUGUAUGAAGAUAUGCUAACAAAAUUCUUUGCUAAUACACAGAAGAGAUAUGCCAGUGUUGGUGGUGUGUCUGUCCUAGAGAAAGGAACCCUAGGGACAGGCUUUCUUAUUCAGCUUCAUAUCAUCAAUGAGCAUUUCAGGGACCUUAGUGCUAAGUGUUCUUGAAGUGAUGCUCAAAUUUUAAAUUUAAACUUCGCAAAUUUUAUGCACAUAUUUUAGGUGAGUAAUGCAAGUUCAAUCCAACACUCCAUACACAAAGGGCACCUGGAUAUUCCUAGGUCUCAGUUAUGGGAAUACAUGAAGUCAAAUGAACAUUCAUAGCUCUUGAGAUCCUUCCAUGGCCCCAACAAGACCACCUGUCAUGGCUGGUCCCUUCUUUUGCUUCAUCUGGGCUCCACUGGGCCCAGCAGUUCUCCACUGUUGUUCCUGGAGGAGUCAGAGUGGCUGUGAAGUCUGUGGUGAAGUGUGUGGGGCAGAUCCCUCUGUCUGUGUGUCUCACUUCAUCACUUUAGCCUGUAGGCAGUACAGUUUGGACCUGAGUCUCAUAAUGGCUUUUGUGAAAGAGCGCAUCAGACUGAGUUUCUGGCACCAUCUGGGAAACACACAGCAUUCUCUUCCAUCUUGGCUUCCCAUGUCUUCCCAGAACCUUGUGUUCCAAAGUUCUUUUUAGUCCAGACCCUCAGCAGUGUUGGACAUAAAUUCACGCAGAUACGUGUUUUGGGGAUAGCAGGGUAGGAAGUUUGUAGCCCCAUAAGUCUUAGCACAUGCCACACUACUAUUAAUAUGUUUCCUUUUGACGGAUGGCUCAGGCAUAGAGUGACAAUUUGAUCUCAGAAUAUAAAUAGACCCAGAGGUUUUAUAAAAAGCUUCUUUUGUGAUUUUGUGGUGAUGACUGUAUUGGACUUUUAAUAAAUUUACCACCUAUAGAUGAUGGCUGUAGAUACAGACACCAACACAAAGAGUGAAUAAGAAUUAAAGGAAAUCUGUGAAAGAUCAAAAUAACAAGGAGAUCAUCAUGGUAUUUUUCCGGGGUGGUUCAGAUAUUGGAGAGGCAUGGGAGUGUUCAGUAGUCAGUGACUUCUGCAUGAUAUUUGCAUAGAGAGAACUUUAAAAAGGUUGCAUUUCUUUUCUGCUUUCAUAUUUACUUUGGGUUAAGGUUAUAGGAUCUCCUUGGCAAUGUUGCUGAUGCUAUUUUUGUAAACCCCAAAUCAGUGUUCAAAUGUGGUGGGAUGGAAAUUUUGAGCUACAGCAAUAAUAAAUACAUUUUAUGUCCCCGUAACAUUCAAGCUGUAGUAUGUCUAAGAGUCAGUGAAAGUUGUUUCCUGCCUUGAACUCUGAAGUAAGAAAGAAACUUUUGUUUAUAAAUGUUAGAGAUUUUGUUUUUGCAUUUACCGCAAAGUUAAGUGCAGAUAUAAUCUAAUCAGUUUUGGCAAAAUAUCAAGCGUGCUUGUUUGUUUGAUAAGGGAGGGAAACCCCCAACUUUUCAUGAGCGCAAGUCCUUUACCUGUGUUGAAGAUACAUGACUUCUGUCCAUAAAGUCUUCGAUCUUGUGGACUCAUACAGAAAACACGGGUCCUGUACAGGAAAUAAGAGGCAGACAUGUACUCCAGAACAUCUUUCUCAUCCAUUUUAAUAAUGUCUGGUUUUGAAUUUAUAGGAUUUCAUAUAAAGGACCCCAUUUAUAAGUUUUUUAUUCUUCUCCUCUAAAGAUGUAAAACUUUAUAUGCUGAUUCGAGUGAAAUUGAGAGUAGUCAAUAUCAAUCAAACAAAGAUUAUUUAAUAUGCACUUUAGCAUAUUCUAUAUUGGAUUUCUUCACGAGAAUAUUUGAUAAGAGAACAGGUGUGUGUGUGUGUGUUUCUAUAUCUAUCUUUCUAUGUUUUUCAACUCACCAUGCUUCUACACUAUAAUCUCCUUGAAGGGCAGGGCCAUGUGGUAUUCAUUUUGUUAACCUUGUAACACCUAGUGGGACACUCUCAAGACAUGAAAACCAGUUUAUAAUUGUAUCAACUUUACAUUCUGGAAGAUGCCUGUCAGUGGCCUUUUAUGUACCUUGCACCCAUCUGGUGGGGUGGAUUGGGCAAGCCUUACAGUCCUUAUUUUAUAGAAGAUGAAUUUGAAUUUCAGAGAGAGUGAGUGAUUUACAAUUCCGGGCAUGUCUUUCACCCCAUCCAUUUCUUGUGGCCCAUCUCUGGACACUUUAUGUUGAGGGAAAGGAGCAUUACCCUGCAAGCCUGGCAGGAAGAAGGGCUGCUGACAAAUGGUGUGUUUGAAUUUAUGGGUUGGGCUAGUGACAGUUGACAGAGCCUUCCUAUAGAGACACAGGAUUCUCCAUCACCACUGGCACUUUGCCCCUAGGACCACAAUGAGUAUCAAACCACAUUUAAGACAACCGUGAACAAAUUUCAGUGGGAUUGGCAAUGAGAUUUCCAAAUGGACAGAUCUUCUGCCUGAAGGUGGUCAUCAGCAUGUCUAUAGUGUAUAGAGUUCUCUGCUAAAUCCACAGCUUCUGCUUCACCUAACUUUUUUUUUAACCUGGUUUUGUUCAUUGCAGAUAGAGUUCUCUCUCUGAUAGCCAGGAAGUUGUAUUGAGAAGGGAUCAGCCACAACAAGCUUGACUCACUGGGCACAUGUUACCUUUUGUUUUUUGUUCAGCACCUCUUUAUAUAACAAAACUGUCUAAUCUCUCAAAGUCGUAAAAGGUUAACAUUUAACUAAGUCCUGCAUGUCAUUCUGGGAUGGACAUCAUGACAGUUUGGCAUGUCCUUUGGCAUUGUGUUUGUGCUGAUACAUUUCCAUUCAAUUUACAAACGUUUCAUUGAAUGCAUACCACAUGCCAGGUGAUAGUGCUGCUGCUGGGGAGAAGGUGGGAAAUGAGGCAUACACAAUCCCUGCCCUCACAGAACCUAGUGGGGACAGAUGAGAAGAAAGGAAUGCCAGUGGAAUUAGUGUGAUGAAAGAACAAUCCCAUGAGAUAGGAAUAGCUUUUUUAGAGCGCUAGGCAUUCUGAAACUUUCUGGUUAUCUCAGAUCUCAGAUUGCUUAAGCUUCUUCAUGCCCUUACAGGUAGGCUCCGGUCUUAGUAGCUCUGAAAUAUUGUGAAAGUUUCGUGACCUCUUGGGACCAUAGUUUUAUCAUCUGUGAAACAUAGACAUUAAAGUGGAGGACUUUAAAAGCUUUUGCAAUCCUAAAGUAUCAUUGUUGUAUUAUUGCAAUAGCUAACAUUGAUCAAAGUCUGACAAGGUGCCAGGCACUGGACAGGGAGCUCUUAUAAGCAUUGUUUAAUUUAUUAAGUGAUUUUUGUGGAUCUUUUUGUAUAAACCUGGAUACAAGCAGCCUAAGGAGGGACAUGGCAGGUACUCUGGUGAAAUCCAGAUAACCAUCAAGGGAGCAGGUGGCUUUGUCUAGAUCUCUUUCCCAAUUUAGAUGUUUUAUAUACUUUUCAGGGGAACUUGCAUCACAUCUGUACACACCUAUGUUAUAUUUAUAUAAUAUUUGCAUGUGAACUCUUUGUUCUAUUUAAAAAUGAUCAAUUUGAUGCCUCAAAAGUUUUUUUAAAAGCAUAAAACUCUAAUGACAAAAAAGCAGUUUUCAAAGCAAAAUGAAGUCCUCCCAUUUGGUAUAGUCAUUUAUUUUAAAAGACAGGUACAUUUUAAAUGCCCCCUAUCCAGCUGUGUUCAUCUAUGUCUCCUUUUGUAGAGUUAUUUAAGUCUUUUUGGAAUUGCCUUGUGUCAUUUUCAAAUGUUCUUGAAUUUAAUGUCUGCACGACAUUCUUAGGCAGACUUAGUCCUCAGCUACCUGCCAGGGAUGAGUUCACAUUCCUUUCAAUAAUGAGAAAGCAGGAAAAUGGACAACACAUUUGCAAUAGGCUCAAAAACACCUGCCAGGGGAAAGAGAUGAGCUGUUUGAUGUCCCAUGUCCCACCGACCUGGCAACUCUGUUAACUAACAGUGAUGAUGAAGAAGAUGGUGGCAGUGGUGGUGGUGAUGACAGGUGCGAAUGUGGACUGAGCCACUCAGGAACUUGGAAAAUUAUUUGCAUAGCUAUUUCAUUCAAUCCUCAUAACAACAAACUGAAGUAGACGUGAAUAUGUCCAUUUUACAGGGAUGAAACUGAGUCUCAAUAUUUGUAACCACCUUGCUCUAGGUUACUCUAGGUUACUGGACAAGGUGGGAUUUGAACCCAGGUCAAUCUAAUUCCAGAUCUCAGGCCUUGAGCUUCUACAUGACACUAGUUUAAUCCCUUCUUGCCAAGAAUUCUUUCUAAGAGAUAAGGCAAAUCUGCUGUACUAUCUUUAAUUCUAUAAUGAUAUGAAUAGAGCUAUUAUUAUUUUAAUAUUAUCAAUUAGUAACUUAGAAAUUCUCCCAAAGAGUCAAACAAUUGGAAAAAGUACAAUGUGGCACAAACCUCACAAACUUUUAGCAGUUCAUUAUUUGGUCCAUGGGUGGGAAGGCAGCAUGGCACAGAGGAAAAAGCCAGGACAUGGGCUAGGCUGGGCUGGGCUGGGCUGGGCUGGGUUAGAGACCUGGGCCCAUACUGCUGACUACAUGGACCUGGCCCAUCUCUAACCCCUCUAAGUCCUAAUUUCCUCACCUACAAGGAGUGGCUAAAAUGUCUUUGUUGAAAGAAUGUUAGAUUGAUUGCAAAUCAUAAAUUAAAUGUGUCUGGGCAGUGUCUGGCAACGCAAGUGCUAUGUGGUUCCUACUAGAUAAAUGGUAGAAAAGCUCUUGGCACAAACCGCCCAAGCCUGUCAUGCUCCUGGGAUAAGACUACCUUCAAGCCCUGCCUGAUUUCAUUCCUGUCCAUGUCACCAGCCCCAUCUUUAGCCAUUUUCCUUUUCAUUGAUUUUUUUCUCAUUUCUCAUGUGGGACAGUGUCACCCUUCCACCCCAGGGUCUUUGAAUAUGCCAUUUCCUUGGCUGAAAAAUAAUCUUUCACCCUUGUAUGAAUGCACUGUUCUGUCUUGUCCUUGAGAUCUCAGCUCAAAUGUCACUUCCCCAGGGGAGUCUUUUCUGAAGCCCCAAAGCAUCAGGCCCCCCUUAUAGAUUCCCAGGGUGCUUUCCGAUUUGGGAUACCCUUCCCAGUGGUAAUUAAGUACUUAAUUCACCAUUAAUUGUUUAAUGUCUGUCUCCAUCACCAGCAUUGACCUCCAACAGGGCAGAGGCUGCAUCUGCCAUAUUUAUUCUCUCUCCCCAGAUCCUGGCAUGGGGCGUCGCUCCUAGUUGGUGCUUGAUGAAUAUUCAUUGAAUGAAUGAAUAAAUGAGCUGAUGAAUAAAGGAUUGCCUUAUUUCAAGGAUCCCCCUUUACACUUUCUAACCUGUUUUUACUAAAAGAAGACCACUUGAUGUGAGCCAGGAAGACUUUUACCAAAAGUUUUUGCCAAAAGCUGUGCCCUUUUUACCCCUGAUGAGAGCAGAACUUCCUGGGGGACCAUUUGUUACCUGUGGCGCAGAAGCCUUGUGUACCAAAUGAGCUGCAUCCACUCCGACCAGAGCGAUACACUGGAUGAUAAAAAGAUAUCACCUCCCUGAAACAGAUGCUUCAUUUUAUGAUAGAAACAGAGACGCUGAAGCCUGCAGGUGCCGGGCUGACACGCGCUCUGCAGAGAAUCAUUAGAGCCUCCUUAGAGAACUGGGUUUACUCUGUGUUUAAUCAGCCCCAGGCAGAAGAAAUGGCUUCAUUUCAGCUCGACGAGAGCCAGAUCACAAAAGGAAGAUAGAUGGCCAAUACGGCUCAUCACUAUAAGCAUAUUGUCUUAAUUUGAAGGAACAGCCUGGCACCCGUGCUAAUCAGGAAAGAAAGUGCAAUAUGGCUAGCACUGAAGGCCAGUCAGUUUAACUCUCAGUGUACCCCUUAAGGAGAAGCUCUCAUUUAUUUUCUUAAUUAAUAUUUUAAGGGAAGUGAGAAUCACAAAACACAUUACUCAAUCACUUAAGAAGUUCCUUGGCUUAGAAUUAAAGAUGCUCCAGGAAAGACUUUUUAUACCUGAAAACUGUGAAUCUCUACCUAGAAAAAAGUCUUAAAGCCGGUGAAUAAAGUGGCUUAGGAAGGUAAGGUCUAUUAAUUUGCUGGCUGCUUUUAAUAUUGGUCACGUUUGGCAGUUGAUCCAGAAAUAGCUACAAAUAGAGACGACAUCAGAUCUAUUGUGUGGAAACUUGCUGGUCUCUUGUAGGCUCUUGUUUUUCAUGGCUCAGUCCUGUGCUUGUUCUUCACCACCCUCAGCUUUAUUGAGGUGUAAUUGACAAAUAAGGAUUAUAUAUUUAGGCUGGACAUGGCAGCUCAUGCCUGUAAUCCCAGCAUUCUGGGAGCUGAGGCGGGUGGAUUGCUUGAGCCCAGGAGUUCGAGACCAGCCUGUGCAACAUGGCAAAACCCUGUCUCUACAAAAACACAAAAAUUAGCCAGGUGUAGUGGCAGCUACUGGGGAGGUUUAGGUGGGAGAUCACUUGAGCCCGGGAGGCUAAGGUUGCAGUGAACUGAGAUUGAGCCAAUGCACUCCAGCCUAGGCCACAGAGCCAGACCCUGUCUCAAAAAAAAAAAAAAGGUUAUAACUUUAAGGCAUGCAAUGUGGGGUUUUGAUAUACCUUGUAAAAUGAUGACCACAAUCAUGCUAGUUAACAUGUCCAUCAUGUCACAUCAUUACCUUUCUCUCCCUUGUGGUCAAAACAUUUAAGAUCUACUCUCUUAGCAGGCCAGGCACAGUGCCUCACGCCUGUAAUCCCAACAUUUUGGGAGGCCAAGUCAAGUGGAUUACUUGAGGUCAGGAGUUAGAGACCAGCCUGGCCAACAUGGUGAAACCCCGUCUCUACUAAAAAUACAAAAAUUAGCCCGGUGUGGUGGUGUGCUUCUGUCGUCCCAGCCACUCGGCAGGCUGAGGCAGGAGAAUCGCUUGAACCUGGGAGGUGGAGGUUGCAGUGAGUGGAACCUCUGCAUUCCAGCCUGGGCGAUAGAGCAAUAUUGUAUCAAAAGCAAACAAACAAACAAACAAACAAACAAACAAAAAACUACUCUCCUUGCAAACUGCAAGUAUACAAUACAUUAUUAUUAACUAAGUUACUUUCUGUACAUUAGAUCUCCAAAAUUUAUUCACUCUGCAUAACUGAAAUAUUGCACCCUUUCACUAACUCGCCCGCGUCCCUCCUCACGCGCUUCCCCUGACAACCAUCAUUGUACCCUCUUCAUCUGCGUGCUUUUGCCCCUCUAGAACUUGCCUUGGUUAGGACUGCAAAAUGGAUAUUCAGUUCAGUCGCUCUUAGCUUCUCGAUUGCCCCAAAAUGCCAGAAAAGGGAUUUUAAGCUUGUGAGGAGCAAUAAUACAUAUCUGAACUCAGCAUCCUUGCCAAACCUCUCUUAUUUGAAGUAAAAGCAGAUAAUGAGUAGUGUGGGUACUUACAAACAAGUGGAUGUUUUAGAAUCAUUUGGUAUGUGUCACAUCCAUGUUUUCAUUAUAUCCCCUGAGCCUUAGCACAAAGAGCUUUAACAGCCCUUCCACCCCAGCGACUGUUUUCCAGAUGUUCUGAAACAACAUCAAGUGACCCACUUUACCCCUGAGAGAUACAUAAAGGUGCAUUUAUGGAGAGACUGGAUGAGUGAGGCUGAGACAUUCGCUCAGCAGCUUAGUCCUAGAUAAUCUCCCAUGAACGCAGUAUCGAAUCUUACUUUUUACCUAAGGCACAUUGAGUACGGUUUCUAGAAAAUGAUAUGCGAAACACUGCUAAAGUGAAGAAGAAACUUAAGAAGCUUAGCAACGGAUGUAGAAAUAUUAUCAUCAGCUAUCAGGGUAAUAGUAUCCAGUCAUUUUCCACCUACAGGCACAAGAUUUAGGCUUAAGCAGCUGAAGACAACACAGAAAGUGUGCAGUCUUAGAGUGUUUAAAUAUCGGCACGUCAAGGGGAAGGACUUUAAAACCUGGACAAGUGUCAUUUGAUUUUUGUGCUGGAUAGGAUGAAAGCAAAAUCACAAUUGCAGAACUGAAAAUACCCAAGAGGCACGCCAAGGUUCAUUGAGAAGCCAUACCAUGGAAACAAGAGAAAUCAUCAUUUGUAGAUAGGAGAUUGUUUCAUUCUUUGCACAUGGGCAGCAAAUACCAGAGCAGUCUCUGGGAUCAGAACCCAGCUCUUUGCCUCUGUAAGGGAGAUGAGCCAUUUCUCAAGGACCAACAAUAUGUUGCCUUAUAUUCAGUCAUAGGGGAAGAGCUACUGAUUCCUUCCAAACAUGGGCAUCAGGCCACAUGUCAAAAUCUGGCAAGAAGGUGGGAGAAUUCUUCCAUAGCACAUCUGUUUGUGUAGAUGACAUUGAGUGAAAAAGGUGCCCCCUCCCCAACUCCCAAAGUAAGCAACAUGCCAAAAUCUUGACGUGAAAUGUACUUAAUUUUCUACAGUAUGUCAAUCACCCAAUGUCUGCUGUGCAAAAUGAACAACCUUCUGGCGUGACUUCCAUUGCCACUGGCACAGAACUCACUGCAGUCAUCCCGUUGAGGUACUUUAUGCAUGAAAGGGAAAGUGAGCCCACGUGAGGGGGGUCGGACAGCUCUCAGAAUGCCUGCUAGUGGCCUGCUGUUUAGCAACCAUUUACAUGGGACCAACUAAUGGAUGACAGUCCUAUUGCUGAGUUCAGAAAUAGACACCCUCUCAUAUCUUGGGAGGCUGGGAAGUCUUGCUUGGCACUGACAUGUUGGUCUAACUUAAACUUUGGUGAAGAAGUACAACUCUGACUGCAUGACAAGGUGGAUGCCCACUUGAGAUAAAAUGAACUACUUUUUGCUUUGAAAAUCUGUGGUCUGGAACAUCCAAGAUUGAUCAUUUUGAGUCAAUUGCCAUUGCUGGUGCUUUUCUGAUUCCUGCCGCUGAUUUGUUCAUAGUUAGAAACAUGAGUUAAAUUACCCUUAUCUUAACAUCCUUAACCAUCAAUGUUGUUAUUGGUCAUAAAAUUAGGCACUUCCUGUCAUUUCAAAUCCACUGACAGUUUUGGGUGGUUUGAGUUGAGUGGGUUGGACAAGGGGAAAUAGGUGAUUUCCGCUGCUUCUUGUGGAGUUAAUCUCUCAUCCAGAUACUGCUAAAGCAUCUCUUUCAACGGCAGUCUUUAUUCUUAGUUUAGCAGCAUCAGUGUAAACAACAAGUUUCUUUAGAAUGCUCCAACUCAAAGUCCAAAUGACAGAUGAUUUCCCAGUCCUGAAGAAGUCAUUUAAGCACUUGUAUUUCUUUUCUUUUGUUUUUUUUUUUGUUGAGAUGGAGUCUCACCCUGUCGCCCAAGCUGGAGUUUAGUGGCAUGAUUUCAGCUCACUGCAACCUCUGCCUCCCGGGUUCAAGCGAUUCCCCUGCCUCAGCCUCCUGAGUAACUGAGAUUACAGGCACCCACCAUGAAGCCCAGCAAAUUUUUUGUAUUUUUAGUAGAGACAAGCUUUCACCAUGUUGGUCAGGCUGGUCUCGAACUGACCUCAAGUGAUCCACCAGCCUCGGCCUCCCAAAGUUCUGUGACUACAGGCAUGAGCCACCGCACCCAGCCUCACUUAUAUUUCUUUCAGCAAUUUAUUCCAGUUUGAACAAGACAGUCAAUUUCUCAUUUAAAUAUGGAGCAAGCAGGUUAUGUGUGUGGAAACAAAAAUAUCUGGCAACCAUUCAAGGUUUGGAUGAAAAGAAGGAUGUGGAAACAUGUUACAGCUAGAAAUGAUUACUUUAUUGUAACUGCCAUUUGAUAUCUGGGGGCUUCUCUCUUCUCUGCACAAAUCUCUGUUCUUAAAAGUCCUUUUGGGGAAGCUCCGGGCUCCCCACACCAUCCCCUCCUCCACCAAAUAGCUGCUGGGCUGCUCACAUGGUCAAGCUGGCCUUGAAUCUAGAAAGUAUUUGCAGCUUCAUCUAUGUCGGCAAGUUUUCCUUUCCCCUAAGUAAAACACUUGUUUCAGCUCACAUGUUUUGUUCAGUGUGAAAUAUCUUAGCUGCUAAAAUGUCACUUCUGUGGCAAAUAUUUCCUCAAGGAAACAUUUGUAAAUAUCUUCAAAAAGAAGGACUCAUCCCUUACACCAACAAAAAUAUAGCCAAGUCAGCACAUGUGUUUCUAAAAUCCUCCUUCCUUUAUAAAAGUCAGGCUUUUUCCUACUAACUGAUCAGCAGGAAGAAGUAUAUAUAUAUGUCCAUGUCCUCCAUGUACUUGACCUACUGAGGCUCAGAGGGGCUAAAACACCUUUGAGUAUAGCAUUGAUCUUAGCAAUCUUGUAAUGGGGUGUAUUAGUCUGUUUUCACACUGCUGAUAAAGAUACACCUGAGACUGGGUAAUUUACAAAGAAAAAGAGGUUUAAUGGACUCACAGUUCUAUGUGGCUGGGGAGGCCUCACAAUCAUGGUGGAAGGUGAAAGGGACAUCUUAUAUGGCGGCAGGCAAGAGAGGGAAUGAGAACCAAGUGAAAGGGGUUUCCCCUUAUGAAACCCUCAGAUUUCUUGAGACUUAUUCACUACCACAAGAACAGUAUGGGGGACACUGCCCCAGUGAUCAAUUACCUCCCACCAGGUCCCUCCCACAACAUGUGGGAAUUAUGGGAGCUACAAUUCAAGACUAGAUUUGGGUGAGGACACAGGCAAACAAUUUCACAGGGUUUCCAACUGGCAGGUUUUUGGAAAACUGAGACCAGCCACUUGUAUGGGUGCCUCUCAAGGGAUCAAUGAGAACAGGAAGUGAUCAAUGCUCUCUCAUACUCAUAGCAUGUCUGGGACUCUGAGUGCCCAGAAUUCUGCCCCAUGUAGAAUAGAACCUUGCUAAAGGUUGAGCCCACCCUAAAUCUAGAGGAAUCACCGCUGCACAGAAAACUUCUAUCAACUCCUUUCUGUGCUGUGUGAACAUAAGACUCAUCUCAGUGUAAUGUUGUGAGAAAAUUCAUGCUCCAUCACUAAGAAACAGCUGUGUGUUGCCACAGUCAUUAACUUUUGAAAGAUGUUAAAGGCAGGUAUUUGUUUGAAGCCAGUCACUUCAGACAGAGCUUCCCCUUCAGGUUUCCUUCUGGUUCUCUAAGUGUUACCUUGCUUCUCUGAUACAAGUAGGGGAAACCAGCACCAGAAAUUUAUGGCUUCUAUUAAGAGGGUUGGCUGGACGUGUGGACAAUAUGUCAAUAAUUAUUUCUGGUGGGGAUCUAACAGCAGAGGAAGUGUCUUUGUAGAAUAGCUUAUUUUAACAGAAGACAGAUCUGCCUGACCUGGGUUUUAUGACAGAUGUCAAAUAUAUCGAAGUGUGUUGUGAAGCAGAUUGCCUUAUUGGCAAAGAAAUGAAAGACCACCAGGAAGAUGUAUGGGAAACUUUCCUUGAGGGGUUUCGUGCCUCUUGGUGCAGGUGCGGCAGUAAACCUGGAGAAAGGCCAGUGGGAAGGUGAGAGUGGAGACUGUGGGGAGCAGUUUGAACUUCUGCCUAUCCAUGAGACUUGGAAACAAAAGACCCUAAGCCCCAGAGGGUUGAUGGAAAAUGGGGUGGAAGAAAGGGAGAGCAGGGCAGCUCACAUGAGAGCAGUUAAGGGACAAGGGUAAAGCAAGUGAGGCCACCCGAGAGAGAGCACCCCCUCACUUGUCUCAUCUGAGGUGCCUGCUCAAGAAUGGGUUGUUCUCCAACUUUCCUUCUUGAGUUCAGUUCAACAAGUAUCAGUGCCCUGUGCCAAGAGCUGAGCUGGGCAUUAGAGAAGAAUGCUGAAUACACAGGCUCCCUACUCCAGUCCCCAUUUUCCUUCCUCUGGAAAGAAACCACUUUAGUGUCCAGGGAGGACAUGGUGUCCUGGGGUCACUUAUUAGCUGCUGGGUAGCCUGAGGCAAGUGUGUUCAUGUCUCUGAGCCUCAUUUCCCUGAACUGGACAAAGGAGCUCAGGACCUGCCCCAUAGAGUUGAGGAUUGAGAAGGACAGUGCCCUUGUACUUGACCCAUAGUAGGUAUGGGAAAGAAGGUUUAGGAGCCCAUCUGUUCUGAGUUUGUCCAACGCACAGUGCUUCAUAGGGCUCCUCCAGUUCUCAUUUACUCUCUACAAUAUGGGAAGUACAUUUCAUGAUUUUGAUUAAAAAUGAGGAGGCAGAAGGGAUGGUAAAGAGAAUCACUCUCUGAUUUGUGGCACUACUCACAAUAGCAAAGACUUGGAACCAACCCAAAUGUCCAACAAUGAUAGACUGGGUGAAGAAAAUGUGGCACAUAUGCACCAUGGAAUACUAUGCAGCCAUAAAAAAUGAUGAGUUCAUGUCCUUUGUAGGGACAUGGAUGAAGCUGGAAACCAUCAUUCUCAGCAAACUACCGCAAGGACAAAAAACCAAACACCACAUGUUCUCACUCAUAGGUGGGAAUUGAACAAUGAGAACACUUGGACACAGGAAAGGGAACAUCACACAGUGGGGCCACCAAAGUGUGGCCACCAAAAAGUUGGUCAGAUACAGAAACUAUAAAGGGAGUAGUGAGGAUCACUCAACUGUUUGCCUUUCGUCUCAAAAAGACGGAACUUCAGGUAAUUUAUGUGGCCCUUCACUGAAAUUAUCUUCCAUUAGAUUAUAAGCUCCUUGUAUUCUUAUUCCGUGAGCUUCCUUUGUCACAAAAGGUUAGCAGGAAACUGUGCCCCUUGAGACAGAUGGAUAACAAAAAAGCCACCCUUUCUCCAGGCUGCUGUAGUCAGUAAUGGUGGCUUCGGUGGGAGGACAACAUGGUGGUUUUCAGCUGCCCCUUCAACCGGGCUCCCAUGUCUGGGCACAAUCUACACCACUGUUUGUGGUGGCCCUGUGAGCCCUUAGCACAGCUAAGCCCGAAGUGCAUAGUCAGUAAAUGUUUUCCAACUCAAUUUAUUACAGUCACUGUUGUGCAGAAAAUGAUGGCAUUAUGUUUUCAAAGAGAUUACUUUAGUCAUUGGAAAAACAUAAUAGAGAAAUUAUGGGUAAAAUGUAAAAAGUCACUGCAACAGUAUUCUUUUGUGUUCUUAAAUGUUUCUUCUUUGAGUCCAUCAUGAGAAAGAAUACAGUAUUUCAUUCCUUCUGGCUUUGCUGGCUAUAAACCAUUAAGGGUUUUGUGUGUUUUUUAAGUGAUUGGAGGGCCCAUGGACUACAGUUAUGAGAAAAGCUUGGAGAAACUGAGGCAGGACAAAUAAUUAAAGAAGGAUAUUUAGACUGGACUCAGUGGUUCACACCUGUAAUCCCAGCACUUUGGGAGCCUGAGGUGGGAGGAUCACUUGAGGCCCGGAGUUCAAGACCAGCUUGGGCAACAUAGUGAGACCCUAUCUCUACAAAAAAUUUAAAAGGAUAUUUACAUUUUUACAUGUGUGGGAUUCCCCAGGAUUAGAUAAGGUAGCUGAAAUACAGAAACCAAGAAAAGCUCACAGAAAAUGUUAGCUGUGGUAUAGAAUAUUGGUUUGAACUAUUUUGCCUUCUUCUUAUUCUUUAAAGGUGGUCUCGAUGGUAAAAGUAAAAUCCUUAAUAAAUGGAAGAGCUGUACAGUCUUCUGUUUUGGACUUUUGUUUGUCCCAUUUUGUGGUAGUAUCAUAGGGAAAUCUUUAGAAUGCAGAUCUUGUUUACUUGCCACUUCUCCCCCUUGAUCUACUGGGCUUUUGACCACUUCACCUGCAAAGAGGAAACUCUCAGAAGGAGGUGGAAUGUAAGUUGUUUUCAUAGAUUUUACCCUCCAAACCAACUUCCAAAGUGAUUAACUGCUUUUUCUAAGAAGCAGAGAGUAGAAAUGUCCAUGCAGAAAAAAAAAACCAGCAGUAUCUGCUUUUAUGUUUAAAAAGUGGGGCUGGACAUGGAUGGUGGCUCAUGCCUGUAAUCCCAGCACUUUGGGAGGCCGAGGAGGGCAGAUCUCUUGAGCUCAGGAAUUCAAGACCAAUGUGGGCAACAUGGCGAAACCUUGUCUCUACCAAAAAUCCAAAAAUUUAUGGGGCAUGGUGGCAUGCACCUGUGGCCAGCUACUCAGGAGGCUGAGAUGGGAGGAUCUCUUGAGCUCGGGAGGCAGAGAGGUUGCAGUGAGCUGAGAUCACACCACUGCACCCCAGCCUGGGCAACAGAGCACGACCCCAUCUGAAAAAAGGAGGGUGAAGUGGGUAAAGUGCAAACUGAAAACAAGAAUUUCCCUGGAAAUGAAGCAACUGCCUUGAGUCAGAUGCUAGGGAUGAGAUUUGUCCCUCCUAAGGAGGGGUUGCUGAAGUCCUUCAUCUCUUAGCCUGGCUUGACAUAUGGAAGGAGAAAUGAUAUUCAAUUUGAAUCUAGAAAGUGUAGAAUCUGUCACUGGGCAGAACAAGGGCCACAUGGCUUUUCAACCACAGGACUAUUUCACAAAUUCAUGUUCUUUUCCCUUCAUUUUGACUCUUUUUUGGUCCCCUCUGCUCAUUUUAUUUCCCCUUGAGUUUGUAUUAAAUUCAUUACAUGCUCUUAAGGGAGAGAGGUUCUCAAGAGUGGGGAAGAUGCUACCAGUAAAAAAAAGUUGGCGGGGGGAAGAAGUCAGCCUUGGUGCAUUGAACUAAACUAUAGUUUAUCUCAAAUUAUUUCCCCCCUUUUGGAGAACAAUCUACUGUUCUCCUCGAAGAAGCUUAAAGUCUCAAAGGCCUUUAUUAACUUGAUCUUUGGGAAUAGUGUUUUAAUUUUUCCAUAAUCAUCAUGCAAAUUGAUCAUGAUAAUAUCUGGAAAGGAAAAUAAGUGAACCAAUGGCCUCAUUAACUCCAGUGCUAGGGAGACCCAUGUUCCUGAGAGCUGGUGCCUUUACCCCAUGGUGGCUCAGGACUUCAUUGUGUAUGACUUGGCCCAUACCCAGUGGGAGCUGUGGAACGUUCCCUGCCUGGCGUGUUUAAAUUGCCUCAUGCAUUUUACUCCCUUACAAAAUAAUAGGGGAAAGGUUCCAACCUUACAAAAGAAAUGUUUGCAUUCUACUCAGUUCUAAGCAGGAUCUCCGACUCUCCUAUAACAGAACCAUACCACUGAUGCAACAUGUCUUUUCCGGACUUUACCUUAAUGACAUUGAGGUCUCAAAUUGCUAGACCUUGGGUGAUAAUUGAGUCAGUCAGCAUUAAAAUGUAUGGCUCAGAUGCAUAACUCUGAAUGCUGUUCUGCUGAAUUAGGAGGCUUUUUAGAGUGUGUUUUAAUUUUAAUUUAACACUGACAAUGGCAAAGACAAAUAGAUCUGUCCAAAAUAUACUUAGUAACAGUUUUUUGAGUUGGUUAUUAAUUUUAUAUAAGUAGUUUCUCUUUUUAUUUUUAUACACUAUAAAAUUCAGUAGAAAUCAGAAUCAAAUGCAAUACACUUUUAUUGAUUGCCUGCUAUGUGUCAAACAAGGUGUUGAAUGUUUUCGAAUGCUGUCUCAUUUAUCCUCAUCUUACAGAUGAGGAAAAUGUGGUGUAAAGAGGUGAAAUAGCUUGCUAGCUGGAGAGGGGCAGAGUCAUUUACAGAUCUACCUCAUCAUUGACAAAUUUUGGAUGCAACGCUUUGAAAAUUAAUUUCUUCAGUGCUACGUACAGCUAAUAACUGUUUCUCAGUAGACCUUGUCCUAUCAGUGAGUAGAAAGGAAGUGCUUAUAAGCCUGGGGGCCACGGGGCACCAUAAACAUCUGGGCAUGGAUUGUCACUCAGUGGGUGUCCAGGACCAUACUUUGAGGCACACCAGUGUCUUUCACUGCCUCAUCAUAUCUGUGGCUGAAAAUGAUCUCUUCCUCUUUUGGAGACAAUUGCCUUCUAGGGAAGUACAGAUGCAGGAAGGUAUGCACAAAGCUGAUGUUGGAAAGCAAUCACCUAACAACCAGAUGGGUUAGCCAAAGGCAUCUGCCUCCUGAGACAGAGCAGGGCCACAUGCACAUCUCCCUCUGGAAAACCCCAUUUAUCUCAGCUGCAGUGAGAAAAGGGGUUAUAUGUUCUUUUAAUCACUUCUACCUCUCUGGAGAAAUUUUAUAUGAAUAUGCAUCAACACCAACUACCUGUAAGCUAUUAUGUUAGAAUACAAUAAACUAUACCUUCUACCAGCUUUGUUGAGUGUCUACUAAAUGCUGGGAAUUGUGCUAGGCGUUACAGUUCCAAAGACAAAAGGGCCUAAUAUUCUUGUAGGGAAGGUGGACUUACGAACAGACGCCUGCAAAAUUAAAGAGCUGAUGGGCAGCAAGCACCAAGAAUGACUUGAGGAAGGUGUUGGACAGGUAGUAACACUGGGGCUGGGACUUGAAGUUAUUAGUAAAAGUUCCUUGGAUGAAAAAGUUGGGGGAAAUGUAUCCUAUUUUGAAGGAACUUCCUACUUAACUUGGCAAAACAAGAGUAUGCUUUUGCCUUUUAAAUAGCAAUAAACAUGGUGUAAUUGGUUUAGGAAGGCUGUGCUCCAUGGAGAAGAGCUGGUACUACAUUUAAUUUAUCUUGUAGCAUAGUGUUUUCUCAAACUAUGCUUAGAAGAAUACUGGUUCCUCGAGGUGUUGAUUGGUGUUGUCUGGAAAUACAAGGAGCUUCUGAGGCCAAGUAAUGUGGCAAACACUGGGGUAGGCCAGUUACCUGGGGUUAACUUUCCGGCAGGACUUCUCAGAGUCUUUAAUAUGCUACUCUGCAUCAUAAAUUUUCAAGAGCUUGCCCUGUACCUAUUUGUCUUUCCCUUUUCAUAGUGCUCACAGGGUUUCAUGGAUCUCAGCAUAGAAAAGGCUGCUUUAGGGUAGAGGCAGCUGCCAGCAGUCUUUAGAAAGUGAGUGAUUUCUAUUUCAGAAAGGUAACACUGAGCACCUGGGAAGGAAAACGCCAAGGAUGAGAAACUAGACCCAAGGCAACCUAUAAUGAGGCUGUUAAAAUUUUCUAGGCACAAGAAAAUGAGGCUCAGAAUUAGGGCAGUGAAAAUGUGAGGGAAGAGAUAGAAUUGAGAGAUACUUAGGAGGUAGAAUGGAUACUCCAUAACCACAAGGAUGGUGAAUGAGAGAAUAAAAUAGUUGAAGGUGAAUCCCAAGUUUCUAGCUGGGAAGCUUGGACAGAGAAGUGUUGGGUAGAAGAUGAAAAACAAUUUAAUUUGGGACAUACGGAUAAAGAUGGUCAACUCAUAGCCAGCAACUGGUGAUACUAAUGAAGCAAGGUAUUUCCCUGACCUCUUCAUGGGUGGGAACUGGAGUGCAUGGGUGCUAGAACUAGCUGGCCACUUUGGUGCUGGCACGGGUGGACUCCACUCUCUUGGUCCUGCUGUGUUUCACCCCUUGUGGGAGCGGGGGGAGAACAGGUGAGUGGGUGCAGGAGCCAGGGAGAGUGCUUUUGGGCACUGGCAGGAGCUAAACUUUGUGCAGGCCCUUCAGCAGCAUCUAGGGGAGUGCCCACUACCUCUAAAGCUUCAGAAGGAGUGCCACAGUGCUCCUUUAGCUUUCCUGUCUGUGGAUCACUUAAGUGUUAACAGCUCAGUGGAGGGUCAGUGUGACAGCCUUUUGCACCUGCACUCGUGGCAUCUGAAUUCUUGUCUGGUAUCCUGUAGUAAUGAGGUCGCAUGAAUGAAUUGGUGAUGGUAAAUGUGGGGGAUUUUGUUGGUGAAAGUGGCUGGAAGGGGAGCUGAAAAGGGGAAAGAGCAGGAAGGUGAACUUCCCCUGGAGUCUGGUCAUCUCCAGCUGGACUCCUUCCAAGGCUACACUGUCAAGCUGUCCCUCUGAAGUCAAGCUGCUUCUCUCCAGUGUCCAACCAUAGUUUUUCCUCAUCCAGCUUCUUUUCCUCUCUCUGCUGGCUGAGCCUGGGGUUUUUAUGGUCACAGGAUGGGGGACGGGGUGGGCCAUGGGUGGUUUUGGGAGAGGCAACAUUCAAGAGGGACAACAGGGAUUUUUACUCCCACUUUUGGCUGCAGUAUUAGGCUUUUCAGCUUGAAGGUGGGGCCGGGGACCUGCCCUCUUCUGCCCAGAGUUUCCCUGGCUCUGGUCCCUAUCAAUAAUCUGCAGUUCAGGGCACAGAUGAACAUAUUUUUAUCUUUCUUUGAUGCUUCAAGUGACUCUAUUAUCUUGCAAUGUCUUCAGGUCGUCAUAAUUAACAUCAUGUUGUUGACUAUAAAUGUUUAACAAUGCAGGUUGUAGAGAGCUGUGCUUAAUAGAAAGCUGAAUACAAAUUAUUCGUUGAGAUACUAACAUGUGCCUAGCACAGCAAUACUACGUAAAGAAAAAGCAAGCAAGCAAACAAACAAACAAAAAAGGGAAAAAUAAAAAGACAUAUCCCUUGCUUAAUUUGUUUAUUAUCUUAAGCCUAGAGAAGGUAUUACAAGUGGUCAGAAUAGCAGUGUUAAGAUUCUGACCUUUCACUUGCUAUGUGACCUAGGGCAAGAUACAUAACUUUUUAGUGCUUGGGUUUUUUCAUUUGUAAAAUAUUAUUUGUAGAUUAUUAGUGUCUUUCUCAUUAAGGAGUUAUGAGGUUUAGCUAGGGUUAAAC
rnacentral:lncRNA from 1 species